GCAAUUAGAGGGCGACCAAGCGUGGGUGGUCAAUGAUUCAGUGGUAUACUACACCGACAACAUCAUAGAGUGCCCGAUGGAAACGUACCCCAGAAAAGCUGGGCCGGUGUCAAGCUUCCCGGAGUCAGUACUGCAGUUUUGUUCAGGACCCAUCUCCACUGAUAAAAAAGAUAUCAGCAUGGGUCUCAAAAGUCCAACCUUACCUUCUAGAAUCUACUUCAAGUAUCGGUGGGAACCAGGCAACGUCGUGCUCCUGCAAAUCAAUGAUAACGGCCCUUUUUUGGGCCUCGAAUUCACUAGAACCUUAUUCAGUCCAGAAGUGGGAACAUCAAUGCUCGAAUAAAAUACAAUUCUCUCUAUUA